ACUCAGAUGUCUAUCAUUUAAGUGAUUUCUUCAGGACCACACAGCUAUUCUGGAGGCUGAGAAGUCCAAGGAUGAAGGACUCCCAUCUGGCAAGGGCUUUCUUGCUGCAUCAUCUCAUUGCGGAAGGUGAAGGGCAAGAGAGCAUGAGAGAAGUGACCUCUUCCUGAUACAAGCUGUCUCUUUAACCGCCCCCCCCCUUCUUUUACGAAUUAAAACCUGCAUCUCUUCCUGAGGCCAGUAAUCAGAAGGGCAGGGAAGUGUCCUUUGUUCUUUGUACCACAGGAGAUGACUCAGUGGAAUUGUCUGAGUGGAGGUCAUAAGAUUGUCUUUGAGAGAGAUGGGAUGUAUUUCUACUAUAGGGAAGACUGUGUG